UUGUAAUGGAAACAUUUACAUUCCUAUCAUCGUAAUUCUCUGUGAAGCAUUGCUGCUUUCUUUAGCUGUAAAUGUCUACAUUAUCUGCAUGACAAGAUAUAGAGACUCGUGCCAGAACUUUUACAAUAAUUAUAUUGCUGUCUGGUGUAGUCGUGGAACAGCAAAUGAGCCUGAGCAAUCAGAUGACCAGGUUCCAGACGACACAUUAUACUCGCUGAGUGUUUCCAGAGACAGAGAGUGUGAGGAACGAGCAGAAGUGAACCCCAAUGAGUGUGUGUACUCUGCUGUGAAAACCUAGAAAAGAUUAGACCUCAUCAAAAACGUAAUGUCCUCUUUCUCUCUGUUAUUGUUUUUCAUUUUUGUUUUCAUUUUCAUUCAAUCUAUCUGUCAUUUAUA